AUACGUAGGGUGCAAGCGUUAAUCGGAAUUACUGGGCGUAAAGCGUGCGCAGGCGGUUUUGUAAGACAGAGGUGAAAUCCCCGGGCUCAACCUGGGAACUGCCUUUGUGACUGCAAGGCUAGAGUACGGCAGAGGGGGAUGGAAUUCCGCGUGUAGCAGUGAAAUGCGUAGAUAUGCGGAGGAACACCGAUGGCGAAGGCAAGCCCCUGGGCCUGCACUGACGCUCAUGCACGAAAGCGUGGGGAGCAAACAGGAUUAGAUACCCUGGUAGUCCACGCCCUAAACGAUGUCAACUGGUUGUUGGGGAUUUAUUUUCUCAGUAACGAAGCUAACGCGGGAAGUUGACCGCCUGGGGAGUACGGCCGCAAGGUUAAAACUCAAAGGAAUUGACGGGG
rnacentral:rRNA from 1 species